rnacentral:rRNA from 1 species
UACGUAGGGUGCAAGCGUUAAUCGGAAUUACUGGGCGUAAAGCGUGCGCAGGCGGUUUUGUAAGACAGAGGUGAAAUCCCCGGGCUCAACCUGGGAACUGCCUUUGUGACUGCAAGGCUUGAGUGCGGCAGAGGGGGAUGGAAUUCCGCGUGUAGCAGUGAAAUGCGUAGAUAUGCGGAGGAACACCGAUGGCGAAGGCAAUCCCCUGGGCCUGCACUGACGCUCAUGCACGAAGGCGUGGGGAGCAAACAGG